CCUACGGGAGGCAGCAGUGGGGAAUAUUGCACAAUGGGGGAAACCCUGAUGCAGCGACGCCGCGUGGGUGAAGAAGUAUUUCGGUAUGUAAAGCUCUAUCAUCAGGGAAGAUAAUGACGGUAUCUGACUAAUAAGCACCGGCUAACUACGUGCCAGCAGCCGCGGUAAUACGGAGGGGGCAAGCGUUACCCGGAUUUACUGGGUGUAAAGGGAGCGUAGACGGGGCUGCAAGUCAGGUGUGAAAGCCCAUGGCUUAACCAUAGUACUGCUUUUGAAACUGUGGAGCUUGAGUGCGGGAGGGGCAGGCGGAAUUCCUGGUGUAGCGGUGAAAUGCGUAGAGAUUAGGAGGAAUAC
rnacentral:rRNA from 1 species